CUGAGCUUCACAGGUUCCUGAAAGGGGAACCCUCUAUCCUGGGCACUGUCCAGAUAAUGAUCGGAAUCGUCACGUUUCUGUUUGGCAUCGUUGGUGUGUUUAGUCCAACUCUGUCCAUUAUCGGUGGGAUCCCCUUCUGGGGAGGGACAAUUUACAUCACAGCCGGUUCUCUGACAGUGAGGGCUU